rnacentral:lncRNA from 1 species
CAGGCCGCGCCGCUCCCCUCCCGCACGCCCAAACAUGGCCCCUCGCCACCAAGCCGGCAACUUUCCCCCUGCCCCUCCCGCCGCCGCCCGCCCCGCUCACCUCGCAUCAGGGAACAAAAACUGCAGGCGAGUAGGCUGCGCAGGACGGCCCCCAUCUUCCCUCCCUCCUCGCUCUCACCGGCGGGGAGGCGGCGGCGGGGAGCAGCACCUCCGCUGCCAGUUCAUGCUUCCAGGCGGGCGGGGGAAGCGGCGGGGAAGGGGAGGGCGGGAGGCGGGGAAGGGCGGCCGCGGAGAUCCCCCCUCGCCGGUCCCUAGCAGGCCACCGGUCCCGGCGUGCCGCCGCGGGAGCGGGCGCUGCCCUCCAUGCCGGCUGCUGCUGCUGCUGCCGCCGCCGCCUCACCGCGACCGCCGCGCUCCUUCCCCCAUCCACCCCUCCGCCUCCGCCGGGCGCGCACAGGCGCAGGGAUACAGUCCUCCUCCUCCUCCUCCUCUUCCUUCUCCUCCUCCUCCUCCUCCUCCCGCGCCGUGCCCGGCCGGCUCCCGGCGCAGCGCCCGCCCCCCGGCACCGCUCCCGUCGGGGAGGGCGGGAGCGGAGGGGCGGGGGCGCGCAGCUCCGCUCUCCCGGGCGGGAUCGCGCACACCCCCGGCGGCUCCGCAGCCGGCAGAACCCCGGCAGGGAGCGCGGCCCGGGGGGGGUUCCCUAAGGGAGGGAGGUGAGCGCGGUCACGGCACCCCCCGAGCGCAGGGACGGGGCGAGCUGGGGGGCAGCCGCAUUCCAGCGGGACUACUUUGCCUCCCCUCGCCCCCUCCGCCGCCUGCGACGCGUUCAGCCCUGGCCCGUGAGGACGGGACUACUUUCUGCCACAGAGCUGCGGCGGCGUCCGAGCGGCAGCACAAAGGCUCCGAUCCCGAUCCCAAUCCCGAUCCCCAUCCCCAUCCCGGGACGGGCCGUAACGCCGGAGCAUCGUCCGGGGGGCGGCUGGCAGGCAGAAUAAAGUUACGAUGAGAAAAUCUUCAUGAUUUCAAGGUUUUCAUUCAGUCUAGACAUCUACAUCACAUUCUUCCUCACAGAAUGUGACAGCUGGUGAGUAGAAUAAUGAUAUGGAGCAGAACAACUUGGAGCAACAUUUGAGGCACUUUCAUUCCAAAAUCAGUAUAAUUUUCAGGAUUAUUAGAAACUCACA